rnacentral:rRNA from 1 species
UACGUAGGGUGCGAGCGUUGUCCGGAAUUAUUGGGCGUAGAGGGCUCGUAGGCGGUCUGUCGCGUCGGGAGUGAAAACUCAGGGCUUAACCCUGAGCCUGCUUCCGAUACGGGCAGACUAGAGGUAUGCAGGGGAGAACGGAAUUCCUGGUGUAGCGGUGAAAUGCGCAGAUAUCAGGAGGAACACCGGUGGCGAAGGCGGUUCUCUGGGCAUUACCUGACGCUGAGGAGCGAAAGUGUGGGGAGCGAACAGG